rnacentral:rRNA from 1 species
GACGAACGCUGGCGGCGUGCUUAACACAUGCAAGUCGAACGAGAAUCUGCGGAAAGAGGAUUCGUCCAAUUGAAACAGAGGACAGUGGCGGACGGGUGAGUAACGCGUGAGGAACCUGCCUUUCAGAGGGGGACAACAGUUGGAAACGACUGCUAAUACCGCAUGACACAUUGAGGUCGCAUGGCCUUAAUGUCAAAGAUUUAUCGCUGAAAGAUGGCCUCGCGUCUGAUUAGCUAGUUGGUGAGGUAACGGCCCACCAAGGCGACGAUCGGUAGCCGGACUGAGAGGUUGAACGGCCACAUUGGGACUGAGACACGGCCCAGACUCCUACGGGAGGCAGCAGUGGGGAAUAUUGCACAAUGGGGGAAACCCUGAUGCAGCGACGCCGCGUGGAGGAAGAAGGUCUUCGGAUUGUAAACUCCUGUUGUUGAGGAAGAUAAUGACGGUACUCAACAAGGAAGUGACGGCUAACUACGUG